rnacentral:rRNA from 1 species
GAGUUUGAUCCUGGCUCAGAUUGAACGCUGGCGGCAUGCCUUACACAUGCAAGUCGAACGGCAGCAUGAUCUAGCUUGCUAGAUUGAUGGCGAGUUGGCGAACGGGUGAGUAAUACAUCGGAACGUGCCCUGUAGUGGGGAUAACUAGUCGAAAGAUUAGCUAAUACCGCAUACGACCUGAGGGUGAAAGUGGGGGACCGCAGGGCCUCAUGCUAUAGGAGCGGCCGAUGUCUGAUUAGCUAGUUGGUGGGUAAAGGCCCACCAAGGCGACGAUCAGUAGCUGGUCUGAGAGGACGAUCAGCCACACUGGGACUGAGACACGGCCCAGGACUCCUACGGGAGGCAGCAGUGGGGAAUUUGGACAAUGGGCGAAAGCCUGAUCCAGCAAUGCCGCGUGUGUGAAGAAGGCCUGGUGU